UUUGGCACUCGGCAGGCAGGCGUCCCUUUCCAGCCUCUCUCCUUGUAAGACGUGUAAACCUUCAACUUGGACUGUGUGCCGGCGGCUGUGAUGGUGGCGUGCAUCGACGCUGAGCAUGUGAAUCAUGUCUACAGCAAUCCACACAUCCAACAAACAUAAACAGAUGCAGGGGCCAAGUUCACAUGGGCACUAAAACAAUCACCAUGGAGACCGGAUUUUAAGUAUGUGUGUGAGCGUGUGCUAUGUGAGGAUGAACAUGCCUCCGUUCGGCGAGCCAAAUCGUCCGUGCCCGUCUAUGGCCAACUGGUGUUGUGCAAUGAAAAACAUGGUGGGUGUUGGUGACCAUCACACAAGCACAGAGAUGGGAUCUGAAGGCAGAACUGUGCUGAAAGCUUCCUUAAGUGAAGCCCCUAAUCUUUGACCGCCACCGCCGGAGCUGUAAAGUGAUUGAUCUGAGGGUUUUGCCGCAACAAAUCCCUUACAGUACACACACAUUAAUAAAAAGGAAUGCUUCUCUCAGUCACUUAUUGACAUGCUUCCUUUUUAAUUCAAUAUAACCACUGUGCGCCUCUUGAGACAAAGAGUGUCACCGCCUGCCGCAGAUUUCUGCCAGGGCUCAUUAUGCAAUCCCGAGCUUUGAUAAUUCCUCCAGUACACCGUUUAAUUAGAAACACAUGGCCCUGAGAUCGCAGAGGAGUACAAAGCUUCCAAUGUCUAUACAGCCUGCGCCAUGAGUAAUUGUUUCUCCCUAGCUAGUGCCGAGCCAUUUUUUAACCUGCUGACAGCCAGCGAGCAGGAGGAGGAAGGAGAGGGAAAGAAGAGGAGAAUCUGGAGAUAAGAUUUAAUCCAUAUUGGAGUUUGUGUUGUUAUUGUUUAGUUAAGAAAGGCACCGAGGAGAAGUGAGAAGCACAGGCCAAGGCAGCGUAUGAGGAGGCCUGAUAUGCCCUCCCUCCCCUUUGUUCCUUUUUUUCUUCUUAUUUUUUUGUUCUUUACUCUCAGCCAGGAGUU